UGUCUUGAUCUGCUCUUUUGACACUAAUAAUAAUAUAAUAGCGUGUUAUUGCAAUAUCAGUAUUUCUCAGAAAAGCUCGGGUUUUUAUUCACAGCAAACAGCAGCAUUACAAAGGCAGGCCGAAUAUAAAAAAUGUGACGACGCCACAGGGGCCCUAGUUUCGUACAGCACAUGGCGGAAACUGUCACGGCGAGGCAAUUUUGCGAGACAACGAGAGUCUCUCGGGUGUGCGUGUGAUCAAGUUUUUGUGAGGAACCUGCAUGAUCUUGCGCAUGAAGUAAUUAUUUUUGGACAGUUCCUUCUCUGGACGGUGUUACAAGUACAGGCAAGCGGCUAUCAACGGUUGUUAUUGCUGUACUUUGUGGUGUUGUGAUUCACCAGUGCGGAUCGAAGAGCACCGUUUUCUCCAGCCCUGAUUCUACAAUUUGGAGAUGGGGUACAAGGAGAAGUGCAAGUGUAUUCCACAUCUUGAGGGAGAUGCAAGAUAUGCUUCCGCAAUCCUUGCUGCAAGUGUUCAAAUAAAUGGUUGCAAGUUUCA